rnacentral:ncRNA from 1 species
GCGAGCCGUAUACAUCGAAAUGGUGUACGUACGGUUCUGAGGGAGGUUAGCGGUUGUAACAUCAAGAUAGCCGACCCUAC